rnacentral:rRNA from 1 species
AACGAACGCUGGCAGCAUGCCUAACACAUGCAAGUCGAACGAGACCUUCGGGUCUAGUGGCGCACGGGUGCGUAACGCGUGGGAACCUGCCCUUAGGUUCGGAAUAACUCCCCGAAAGGGGUGCUAAUACCGGAUAAUGUCUUCGGACCAAAGAUUUAUCGCCUUUGGAUGGGCCCGCGUUGGAUUAGCUAGUUGGUAGGGUAAAAGCCUACCAAGGCGACGAUCCAUAGCUGGUCUGAGAGGAUGAUCAGCCACACUGGGACUGAGACACGGCCCAGACUCCUACGGGAGGUAGCAGUGGGGAAUAUUGGACAAUGGGCGAAAGCCUGAUCCAGCAAUGCCGCGUGAGUGAUGAAGGCCUUAGGGUUGUAAAGCUCUUUUACCCGGGAUGAUAAUGACAGUACCGGGAGAAUAAGCUCCGGCUAACUCCGUG